UACGUAGGCAGCAAGCGUUGUUCGGAGUUACUGGGCGUAAAGGGUGUGUAGGCGGUUCUUUAAGUUUGGUGUGAAAUCUCCCGGCUCAACCGGGAGGGUGCGCCGAAGACUGGAGAUCUCGAGUGCGGGAGAGGAGAGUGGAAUUCCUGGUGUAGCGGUGAAAUGCGUAGAUAUCAGGAGGAACACCGGUGGUGUAGGCGGCUCUCUGGACCGUUACUGACGCUGAGACACGAAAGCGUGGGGAGCAAACAGG
rnacentral:rRNA from 1 species